ACGCUCCGGAACCCCGCCAGCCCCUUUACGACGCUGCACAAACAAGAUAUUCGAAGAGGAUACGUCUGGACGUUCUUCUGGUCAUUCUCGUUUAAAAUGGUCCGCAAAUCACACUCGAUGGGAAAGAAUCGUGGGGUCUCUUUGAGAGAGACGAACUUCUCCGUCCUACGAUGUCGCGCUCGUCGCGCGCCAACUUCACACCGACGCCGACGCGCAAACGGCAAUUAACUCCCCGCGACGCAAGCCAGCACAAGUUAUUUCUGAACAUCGAACAAUGAACGAAUUGUCAUAAGCUUACAUUUAUCCUCGUUCCCGCACGAGCAAGAACUUGGAAAGCGAUCGUUCCGGCGUAUAUCCGCAUUACUAAUGCGCCAGGGUGGAAAUUACGAGGCGCGAUAUCAAAUCUGAGAGCAGCGCGAUAAUCCCAUGAAGAAAUCCGUCCGUAAUCGAAGAAGACAAUGUGCACAAGGCCUUAAGGAGUCAACGGGGUUCGCGAUACGCGUAUAUAUUAUGCGGAGCCAGGGCAGCAGCAGCAGCAGCAGCGGCAGUCGCCCCUGUCAGCUUCGAACAAUUCCUAACGCCAGAGUGAUUCGGGAGAGAAAGCGUUAACACGAAGCUAAACGCACCACCUCCAUUAAAGAGAGACCGCUCAUCUACCGAAAGGGCAGAACGCAGAUUGAGCUCGGAUUAAUCUCAAGGUACGAAUAGAUUUAUAUGAAUAGGUCUCAAAAUAUUAAAAUAAAGCAUAAAAAUUAAAGGGAAUUUAUUCUUGCUAAUUAAUCAGGCAAGAUAGAUUACAAUCAAAAUAUUAUAGAUAAAUAUUGCUAGUUCCGCCAAUUCUACAUUUGA